ensembl:rRNA 5S_rRNA 5S ribosomal RNA
UUCCACUGUCAUAUCACUCUGCAACCCAAGACCAGUUACUCACUGAAGCUAAGCGAGCUGAGCCUGGUCUGUAUCUGGAUGGGAGACCACAUGGGAAAACUAGGUUGCUGUUGGAA